AUUGAACGCUGGCGGCAGGCCUAACACAUGCAAGUCGAGCGGAUGAAGGGAGCUUGCUCCUGGAUUCAGCGGCGGACGGGUGAGUAAUGCCUAGGAAUCUGCCUGGUAGUGGGGGAUAACGUCCGGAAACGGGCGCUAAUACCGCAUACGUCCUGAGGGAGAAAGUGGGGGAUCUUCGGACCUCACGCUAUCAGAUGAGCCUAGGUCGGAUUAGCUAGUUGGUGGGGUAAAGGCCUACCAAGGCGACGAUCCGUAACUGGUCUGAGAGGAUGAUCAGUCACCCUGGAAGUGGGACAAGGUCCAGACUCCUAAGGGAGGCAGCAGUGGGGAAUAUUGGACAAUGGGCGAAAGCCUGAUCCAGCCAUGCCGCGUGUGUGAAGAAGGUCUUCGGAUUGUAAAGCACUUUAAGUUGGGAGGAAGGGCAGUAAGUUAAUACCUUGCUGUUUUGACGUUACCAACAGAAUAAGCACCGGCUAACUUCGUG
rnacentral:rRNA from 1 species